GAAAAAGACCAUCCAUGUUUCCCCAUCAUUGAGGAUUACAGCAAAACCAUCAGGGGAAUUUCACAAUGUCUUGGACCUGGAAGAUAUAUUCUUCAGUCUCCUAUUGUCAGAGGGUUGUAGCGUUGCCUGAGACUCCAUGGUAAAGAAACCCUACAGGUUGAUGGAGGAAACAACUAACAGGACUCUGGUAACUGACCUUCACCAGGAUACUCAUCUGGGGUCCACAAAACUUUCUGAGUGGCUCAGACCAAGUUCCACUUCUGGCUAACUGUUCUUGUCAACUGAAGUAUGUCAACCCAGGACAUGUUUUUUGUGCUUACAAGCCCACCUUGGAGAAGGCUCAGGUCUAUACUGGAAUCCCAAACAUCUAAUGUAGUUGCUGGCU
rnacentral:lncRNA from 1 species